CAAGCAGGAUAACAGAUGGAGGCUAAAAACAUGACUGGUGCUAGAGGGAUGAAGGGGAAGGUGACGAUGACGUGCUCCAAAUGCAGCAACAACCGCUUCCUACGCCGCCGAUAACAUCGACGAGAGGGCGGAGGCUUUCAUCCGGGCCGUCCGGGAGCGUUUCAAGAAUGAAUACAGGAUGUAGGAGGUGAAGAUAAGAGGCCCAGAAGAGGUUAAUAUUUACAACAGUGUCUUCUGGGUAGCCAUGGAUGUAGGCAGAAGUAACCAAGUAGCUCUUGCUGUGUACUUCCAUGGCCUGAUCUUUUUUUCCUUUUUGAACUAUAGUUUUACUAGAUGAAUGGAAGGAAUGAAUAACAGUUUCAUCUUCUGAGCCCUUGUUCAGACUUGUUUCUCUGGAAAUUGUGCAGCACUUUGUUGGGCUAUGAAUAGCUUGUUAAAAAUCUGAACCCAAAAUUAAGCAUAGUUUGUAGC